rnacentral:RNase_P_RNA from 1 species
CAAGUAGACCGGGUGACCGCCCUGACUAAAUCGGGGAGGAAAGUCCGAGCUCUACCGGGCAGGGUGCCGGGUAACACCCGGGAGGGGCGACCCUACGGAAAGUGCCACAGAAACAUACCGCCCCGAUGAUGAAUCGGGGUAAGGGUGAAAUGGUGAGGUAAGAGCUCACCAGCGGACGGGUAACCGUUCGGCUGGGAAAACCACACCCGGAGCAAGACCAAAUAGGGGGAUAUAUGGACGCCCGGCCAGUCCCCGGGUUGGUCGCUUGACCCCGGUGGUAACAUCGGGGCUAGAUAGAUGGUCACCGUCCCGAUGCUAUCGGGAUACAGAACUCGGCUUACAGGUCUACUUGGCCC